GCCACAUCACAUACGAUCAUCAAAGUUAAGCAAUGUUGAGUUUGGUCAGUACCUAGAUGGGUAACUACUUGGGAAUACCAUGUGCUGUAAG